rnacentral:rRNA from 1 species
UACGAGGGGGGCAAGCGUUGUUCGGAAUUAUUGGGCGUAAAGGGCGCGUAGGCGGUGCGGUAAGUCACCUGUGAAAACUCUGGGCUCAACUCAGAGCCUGCAGGCGAAACUGCCGUGCUUGAGUGUGGGAGAGGUGCGUGGAAUUCCCGGUGUAGAGGUGAAAUUCGUAGAUAUCGGGAGGAACACCGGUGGCGAAGGCGGCGACCUGGGUAGAUACUGACGCUGAGGUGCGAAAGCGUGGGGAGCAAACAGG